UGCUAGGUAGCUGUGGAGGCGGAGCUUAGACAGAAUAAUAACAAAGGGGUUUUUUUUCUUCUUCUCAACUUAGCAAGGCAGUUUUAAGUUCAAUAAUUUGUAUACAAUCGUGAUUCCAAGAAGGACUCGAUUAUGUUUAGUUAACAAACUGAGUGAGGACUCGAGACAGUUGAAGUCCCCUUAAUACGGAGCAGCAAGCAAACACAGAACGAGCUACCAUGAUAACAACCUUCAGCAGACAACAUGUUCAGGAUGAGUGUACUCAGCUAUGCGCUUGAACUACACACAGCCGCCCAGCCUUGGCCAGGAGACCCCCGCAGCCCACAGUCCCUGAAGGCACAGACAUGAAUGUGCUCACUGAAUUUCAUCUCUGUGUCACUAGAAUUUUGCAAGUGGAUCAGUUGGCCUGAAGACAGAAGCAUUUCCAAAUCUCACUGUGCAGGACGCCUUGCAAGUGAGCUGUUGGGAGAUCAGCCCUGGGCUUUCUGUACUGAACCGGUGAAGGAAAAGAAGAACAGAAGCAUUUCCUACACCAGUGACACCCUGAAGGAGUCAUCUUCAAACAUGGUUUCAAGUCUAAAAAAAAAGUGCCCAGUGCUGGGCUGACCAAAGGAGCAGCGUUUGAAACCGUGUGACUUUCUGUGACAGCUUCAUGUUGACUUCCCACUUCUGAGGACCACCAGCAGAUAGACUGGCUGUCACACUUAUGUCCCAGCAUCCCUGGGAGACAAAGGAGACUUCAGAGAACAAUAAAACAAGAGUUCCUCGUGUGUCACUUGCCUUUCUCAGGAAGAAAUAAAAAGGACUGGAUAGCUGCUGAGGCUGUCUACUACAGCCCUAACCAAUGUACAGUGAGAGACACCGUCUGCCACUGUCUGCCUAACCUAACUGGGGCAUGAGGCUUCAAAGCCAAGUGUUUCAGGGGGAAGAAAAAAUGAAGACAGGCAAACAACUACAGGAGGAGAAAGGGCUGAGGUACUUGCUGCUUUCCAGACUCCAUUUUCUCUCUGCUUAGUGAAGAAUAACAUCCCUGUGUUCCAAGAGUCGCCCCAAGCUAGCAGUGUGACCAACAAGGAGCUGCAACGUUUUCCCUAAAUUCCACAGGAAGGAAGAAGCCCUGUGCUCCUUCUGAACACCGGUGGGUUCAGACAGCCUCAGGAUUCCUUUGGAAUAAAGGGUUAGAUGUA